rnacentral:rRNA from 1 species
CACGUAGGCUGUAGUGUAAGUCAGGGGUGAAAUCCCACGGCUCAACCGUGGAACUGCCUUUGAUACUGCACAACUUGAAUCCGGGAGAGGGUAGCGGAAUUCCAGGUGUAGGAGUGAAAUCCGUAGAUAUCUGGAGGAACAUCAGUGGCGAAGGCGGCCACCUGGACCGGUAUUGACGCUGAGGUGCGAAAGCUAGGGUAGCGAACG